CCCUACGGGGCGCACCCUGCGGCAAUUGCUUGAAGCGAACGCCGAGGCCGUGCUCGGGUCGGAUGCCCGCUUGACGAUUCAUGGCCGGUUCCCAUUGCUGCUGAAGCUGAUUGACGCGGGCGAUGUGUUGUCGGUACAGGUUCAUCCCGAUGAUGAAGAUGCACGCAGACUCGGUGAACCGGACACGGGAAAAACGGAAAUGUGGCAUGUGCUGCAUGCCGCGCCGGACAGCACGUUAAUCUGCGGGCUCGAUCCGAAGGUGAAUAAAACCUCAUUCGCCAGGGCCAUAAAAAAAGACCAGGCCAAAGAGAUGAUGACCGAAUUUCCCGCCCCAGCCGGAACGAAUGUGUUCGUUCCCGCAGGAACGGUACAUGCCAUUGGCGGGGGAGC
rnacentral:rRNA from 1 species